GAAAGGAUACGGGUAUACCGAACCGUAUCUGGACGAAAUCAGUAGUCCCUAUUAAA
rnacentral:ncRNA from 1 species